rnacentral:rRNA from 1 species
UACGUAGGGUGCGAGCGUUAAUCGGAAUUACUGGGCGUAAAGCGUGUGCAGGCGGUUUUGUAAGCCAGAUGUGAAAUCCCCGGGCUUAACCUGGGAAUGGCAUUUGGGACUGCAAGGCUGGAGUGUGGCAGAGGAGACUGGAAUUCCUGGUGUAGCAGUGAAAUGCGUAGAUAUCAGGAGGAAUACCGAUGGCGAAGGCAGGUCUCUGGGCUGACACUGACGCUCAUGCACGAAAGCGUGGGGAGCAAACAGG